GGGGGGGCCCGCCUGCGCUUAGCUGCGCGGUGGCGCUCCGCCUCUUACACACAGUGGGGUAAUUACUUAUUCUUGGGCUGGGCGAAAGUCCAGCUCGCCAAACACAAACAACUAUUUUCUAUUAUACAGUGUCAUCAAAUCUGCUUACGCAGUAACCAAAAUAUUCAAAACUUUCAACAACGGGUCUCUUGGUUCUCGCAUCGAUGAAAAACGCAGCGAAAUGCGAUACGUAAUGUGAAUUGCAAAAUUCCGUGAAUCAUCGAAUCUUUGAACGCACAUUGCGCCCCUUGGUAUUCCAGGGGGCAUGCCUGUUUGAGCGUCAUUUCCUUCUCAAGCACCUGUGCUUGGUUGUGGGUGACACUCUCUCGAGUUAGCUUGAAAUUGCUGGCCGCACUGCGGUGGGGCAGUUGGCUUGUCUGUCGUGCACCGUGCCUCCGCGCCGGGCGUGGCUGGCAUGCGAUUGUCGUACUAGGUUUUACCAAUUCGGCAGGAGCGUGGUUGGCAGAGAGACAAUACAACCGCCCUCCCCCUGGCUAACAGUACUCUUUAAGUUUGACCUCAAAUCAGGUAGGGAUACCCGCUGAACUUAAGCAUAUCAUAAGCCGGGAGAAAUCAUUAAAGAAAUGAUUGGGGGGGCCCGCCUGCGCUUAGCUGCGCGGUGGCGCUCCGCCUCUUACACACAGUGGGGUAAUUACUUAUUCUUGGGGCUGGGGCGAAAGUCAGCUGCAAACACAAACACUAUUUCUAUUAUACAGUGUCAUCAAAUCUGCUUACGCAAUAACAAAUAUUCAAAACUUUCAAACGGGUCUCUGGGUUCUUCAUCGAUGAAAAAAGCAGCGAAAUGCGAUACGUAAUGUGAAUUGCAGAAAUUGUGAAUCAUCGAAUCUUGAA
rnacentral:rRNA from 1 species